GGGCCGGUAGUUAAACCUGGCAUAAUGCGCCCAUGGCAUGGGUGAGGCUCCGAGUUCAAAUUGCGGAAAGCGGGCAGCGCUUCGCAUUGCAAGUCUCGGCCGGUCCA
rnacentral:tRNA from 1 species